UGCGCUAUCAGAUGAGCCUAGGUCGGAUUAGCUAGUUGGUGAGGUAAUGGCUCACCAAGGCGACGAUCCGUAACUGGUCUGAGAGGAUGAUCAGUCACACUGGAACUGAGACACGGUCCAGACUCCUACGGGAGGCAGCAGUGGGGAAUAUUGGACAAUGGGCGAAAGCCUGAUCCAGCCAUGCCGCGUGUGUGAAGAAGGUCUUCGGAUUGUAAAGCACUUUAAGUUGGGAGGAAGGGCAGUAAGCUAAUACCUUGCUGUUUUGACGUUACCGACAGAAUAAGCACCGGCUAACUUCGUGCCAGCAGCCGCGGUAAUACGAAGGGUGCAAGCGUUAAUCGGAAUUACUGGGCGUAAAGCGCGCGUAGGUGGUUCGUUAAGUUGGAUGUGAAAGCCCCGGGCUCAACCUGGGAACUGCAUCCAAAACUGGCGAGCUAGAGUACGGUAGAGGGUGGUGGAAUUUCCUGUGUAGCGGUGAAAUGCGUAGAUAUAGGAAGGAACACCAGUGGCGAAGGCGACCACCUGGACUGAUACUGACACUGAGGUGCGAAAGCGUGGGGAGCAAACAGGAUUAGAUACCUGGUAGUCCACGCCGUAAACGAUGUCAACU
rnacentral:rRNA from 1 species